UAUUUGGCAUUGGGUGGUGACUGAAGUUGCUAUAAGGAUAAUAAAUAUAGUGGCAGGAGUUAUAUUGAACUGAUGAUGGACACAGGUGAUGGUGGUUUAGAACAGAUGGGAUAAUAUUCUACUGAACAUGGCAGUCAGUGGCAGCUUCCCAGAGUGAUGCAAUACACCUAAAUAUCCAAUAACAGAAAGGAUUCAAAUCAUCCUGGACACGGAGAAUAAACAUGUAGUUAGCUAGAGCAAAAGCUCCAACUUCCUAGGCAAUCUAGAAAGUCUCUCUAUACAACACUACAAGAGGUGACUUCACUCUGCUUUUGGGCCAUUGCUAUUCCAUAGCACAGAAAGCCAUAGAUAACAGAGAGGAAAAUUCAACAUGUGAAGAGAUGGAGACAUGAAAAAGAAAUAAUAUGAACAUUCAUGUGGAAGACACGGAGGGACAAACAUCUUCAACAACUAACACAACAGUGCAUAUACUGACUGGCUACUCCCCACAUCCUCAUUAAGGACCAAGGGCAGGAUGCAAUGCCUAUCAAAAUUUAUGGUAAUCUUUCACUUUCAUGAUUCUGGAUAAGGCCCUUAAAAUGUAAGUUCUUUGGAACAGAGAUUCAUGCAUAUGGAAACAUCUAUCACACUGAGGUGGAGUGGCCUCUCUCUGAUGCUGACAGGCAGAAACCACUCCCCCCGGUGGGUGGAGCCAAGCCAGGCCUGCCCCUUGUGUCAGAAGCGGAGGGACGGAACAGGAAGUAUAAGAGGCGGGGCCUCCUGCUCAGUUGAGGGAGACCCAGGGAAGGAGUUGGACACUGCUGCCAGCCCCUGAACCAGGGAUGAGCUGUUUCAACCCCUGCCUCUGGAGGAAUAUCCGGAGGAGCUGCUGCCCGGUAAAUGCUCUGAGCCCAUGAGCGAUGAAGCCCUAUGAACAGGUGAGAGUAGGAAGUAGCCCAAGGAAACCAGACAUUAGUCCGGUUAUGUUUGCUGAAGCUAUGGUCAGUGUGUUUUGGCAGCAUCCCCGCUGACCCAGUGGCCCAGAUUCCCAGCCACUGUUAGGGUCCUGGGCUGGGACUCAGAGAAGUAGGGUGGGCCAGCUCCCCCUAGCGCCUGGUGCCAACCCCAUCCCUGGGCUGGCAGCCAACCCACAGUAGGACAGAUGGCCUGAAUUUGUUCACUGUUCUUCCCAGACAGAGAGUUGGGUCAUAGACUGCUUCUGCUCAGCCCCACGCAGAGGGCUUGAGCCUGACUGUGCCUGCCCCAGCCAGAGAGCUGGGUACAGACUGUUAUUAGUGCUAAUCCCCUAUUGAUCAGCUCUCAGUCACUUGGUGGUUUUGGCAAAAUGGAGCAGCCUCCCUCUGACGUUGACAGGAACUACUCCAAGCCACUACUUAUGUUUUCUUGUAAUGCUUUUAACCUAUGAAUAAAUGUGCUUGCUUGGAAUAGCUGUGUGGUCACUGGUAAAAACUGUCUUUGUCCUCUGAGAUAACAUAACGUACACGCUGGCCUUUAGGGCAGACUGGCUUCUUAGGGACAUCAGAGUGGAUGGCAGUGGGCUGUGCAGCCCUAAAGCUGUUAGUAAGAAGGGAGUGAGACAAGAGUCCCUAUCCAAGGGCAAGUCAUGGCUGGAGACCUGACUUGGCAAACCUGCAGUGGAUCACAGGAGGGAGGGGAAAUAUGAGUGCAGUUACCCUGAAACUGUGACAUGGAUAUACUGAGUAUGUCUAAUAUACAUUGAAAUUAUACUGUAUAUGUUUACGUCAUCCCUAAAGCCAAAAAUUAAAAUCACAGACCAGUUUUUCCAACAACUUUUUGUUUGCUGAUGUUGUUUCCCAUUCUGGGCAGCAAGAAAAGUUAAUUCAUUUAAUAUAGCUGCAACGAUCUUUUGGCUCACUUUUAAAAUAAAAACAAAUAAUUUGCCAAAUUUUCCCAAGCAACCCCUGUCCAUUUGUGACUGUAACUAUCAAAAGAUGCCACAUGACCUACGUUAGAAAUGUUCUUAAGAAUACCAAAAUUACCAUCUUUGGUAAGACCAAAAGCAAAAGAUUUUAUGAAUGUUCCAAGCCUGAUAUAUAACAAAUCAGACUAUUAUCUACUGUACUUCUAGAGUUCAAAUGAUUUAAUGAAUUUUACUUUUAUUUGCUGAAUAAUGUAGUAUGUGAGUCUGAGGCUCAGGCUCUAACAACAAAAACUCAGAAAGAUGCUUUACAAAUGUAUUGCCUCAGCCUCAACUGUAAUUAACUAGAGUUGUCAAUGCUGGAGCUCUUGAGCAGUCUAAGUUAUCGCUAAUGCUGCUUCUCAAAGAAAUUAUACUGAUUUGAGCACAUUGUUCAGCUGCCACCUAAAUAUCUUCUGAAGAAAGUCUUCUGCAGAAAUUAACUGGGUACAAACAUAUAUGUUUGUUUUUAAGAAGGCCUGAAGUGUUUCCAUGAAGGUCCUUGCUACAAACUGAACUGACUGAAGAAUCUCAGCGAGGAAGAAAAUUACCACCUCCAAGGAAAAAGACUUGAGAUUCUGAGGGUAUGUCUACACUACCCAUGUUACAGCAUGGCCAUGACAGCCCUCUGACGUGGGCAGUGUAUUCAUGCUUUAUCGAUGGGGAAGAACUCUCCCAACGAUUAAAAAACCCACCCCCAAUGAGCGGUGGUAGCAUUAUCGCUGGGAGCGAAAGCACUGUCUAUGCUGGUGCUUUUCAGUGCUAAAACUUUUGUCACUCAGGGUUUUUUUGUUUUGUUUUUUUAACACCCCGAAUGACAAAAGUUUUAGCGCUGAAAGUGGCAGUGUGGACACAGCCUAAGUCUAGCAGUUUGUUUCUUAUGACUCUGGGCAAGCUAAAAUUCCAGCUCUCGACACCCUGCUUUUCUCAUAAACCAGGACUACAGAUUGUGAAGAUGUAAAAAAUAAAACCUUAUGUGAAAUAUAUUGUACAAGCUGUUACAUUUGUAAUUCACCAUGAUGGUUUUAUAUGUACUCUCCUGUUGCUGCAUUGAAAUGUAGUCCUUUAAUUUGAUUUGAAAGCAGUUUUUUGAAGUAAAAAUCAGAGCAUUUUAAUUGAUACAAGUGCUCCUGGUGAGGAGGCACACUGCCGACACAAGGAGCCACGUGUGUGCACACCGAAGUGAUUUAAUAACUGUGGUGGCUAUAUGCCAACAUAAGUUAGGUCGAUAUAAUUUUGAAGUGAAGACAUGGCCUCACGGUUCUUUGUGGCCGUGUUUAGUCAGCAUACUACUUCAAGACAACCAGGAGCAUCAGAUGCAUUCACACUUCAGUGAUGUGUGAAAGCACUUCACACAUGGAACCAUGCUAAUUAACUGCAAUUGCUAACAGUUAUGGGCUUGUCUACACUUAAAAUACUACAGAAGCACAGCUGCGCUUCUGUAGCGCGACCAAGAGGUGGUAGCUAGGUUGACAGAAGAAUUCUUCCACCAACAUAGCUCUGCCUAGAUAGGGACUUAUGCCUUGUCUACACUACAGAGUUUUGUCAACAUGGUGGACUGUUGAACUGAGUGGUGAAUCACAUCAUUAUGCAGGUGUGGGAUGAUGAGCAGUGGCUGCAGAACUUUUAGCUGCGGAAAGCCACCUUCCUGGAACUGUGUGCGGAGCUCGCCCCAGCCCUGCGGUGCAAGGACUCCAAAAUGAGAGCUGCCCUCUCGGUGGAGAAGCGCGUGGCGAUGGCUGUGUGGAAGCUGGUGAUUCCAGACUGCUACCGUCAUUUGCUAAACAGUUUGGAGUUGGGAAGUCAACCAUUAUGGCUGUGGUAAUGCAAGUGUGCAGAGCCAUUAAUUGCAUCCUGCUAUGAAGGACUGUGACUCUUGGCAAUGUGUGUGAAAUAUUGGAUGGCUUUGUGACAACGGAAUUCCCUAACUGCAGCAGGGCAAUAGAUGGCACCAUAUUUCAAUUUUGGCCUCGGACCCUCUUGCGACAGAGUAUAUCAAUAAAAAGGGAUACUUUUCUAUGAUAUUGCAGGCACUUGUGGAACACUGUAGGCAUUUCACUGACAUCAACGUAGAGUGGUCUGGGAAGGUGCAUGAUGCAUGCAUCUUCGGGAACACCUGUACAGAAAGUUACAAGCACUGACUUUCUGUCCAGACCAGAAGAUUCCAGUGGGGGAUGUUGACAUGCCUAUAGUGAUCCUGAGAGACCUGGCAUACCCCUUGUGACGCUGCACUCUAUACGAUUUUAUGAAAAUAUGCUAGUGAGUGUGAAUAUAAUGUAACUGGAAUAUGCUUCAUGCAAAAGGUCUCUUGUAAGGUAUCAUUACAAAGCUUAUAAUCUACUGAGUGUGGUCAUCCUG